AAUCAACGCUGGCGGCGUGCCUAACACAUGCAAGUCGAACGCGAAAGCCCCGCAAGGGGUAAGUAGAGUGGCAAACGGGUGAGUAACACGUGGGUGACCUGCCUUCGAGUGGGGGAUAACGUCCCGAAAGGGACGCUAAUACCGCAUGACAUCCUGCUUUUGAACAAGCGGAGAUCAAAGCUGGGGAUCGCAAGACCUAGCGCUUGAAGAGGGGCCCGCGCCUGCUUAGCUAGUUGGUGGGGUAACGGCUCACCAACGCGACGAUCAGGAUCCGGACGGAGAGGGCGGGCGGGCACACUGGGACUGGGACACGGCCCAGACUCAUACGGGAGGGAGCAGUGGGGAAUUGUUCGCAAGGGGAGCAAGCCAGACGACGAAACGCCGAGGGGAGGAGGAAGAACUUCGGGUCGUAAACUCCGGUCGAGCGGGACGAACGCUUCGCGGAUGAAUAAGCCGCGGAAUUGACGGUACCGCUAAAGGAAGCACCGGCUAACUCCGUG
rnacentral:rRNA from 1 species